rnacentral:rRNA from 1 species
AUGGAGCUCCGCCGCUCAAAAGUUGAUCCGGAACUUCAGAUUGAUUUGCUCGUCAAGCGCCGCCGCACUACCGCCUCGCGCCGCCAAAUGCCAGGUCUUCCCCACCUAGCAUCUGCCAUCAGCCAGCGCCCAGCGCCCCAAAUCUGCCGACUCCGCCCGGCGCUCGAGGCCCGAUCUCCAGCCGCCCCUCCGCCAGUAGCUCGCCUGCAGCCGGGUCGAGCAGCUAGCAGUCCGCGCUGGUGGCGGCCGCCAUCCUCAUCUGCUGUAUCACCAGACCUUGUCGCCAUCGCUCUGUUUACUCUAAUGCUGUACACAAGCUAG